rnacentral:rRNA from 1 species
UUGGAGGGCAAGUCUGGUGCCAGCAGCCGCGGUAAUUCCAGCUCCAAUAGCGUAUAUUAAAGUUGUUGCAGUUAAAAAGCUCGUAGUUGAACUUCGGGGUCUACCCAUUGGUCAGGCAUAAUUGUCUGUACUGGUGAGAUGGAUCUCUACCUUCUGAGGAACUUUCAUGCCAUUUAUUUGGUGUGAUGGGAAAUCAGGACUGUUACUUUGAAAAAAUUAGAGUGUUUAAAGCAGACUAUCGUCUGAAUACAUUAGCAUGGAAUAAUGAAAUAGGACGGACUGAUUCUAUUUCGUUGGUUUCUAGGAUCACCGUAAUGAUUAAUAGGGAUAGUUGGGGGCAUUAGUAUUCAAUUGUCAGAGGUGAAAUUCUUGGAUUUAUUGAAGACUAACUACUGCGAAAGCAUUUGCCAAAGAUGUUUUCAUUAAUCAAGAACGAAAGUUAGGGGAUCGAAGACGAUCAGAUACCGUCGUAGUCUUAACCAUAAACUAUGCCGACUAGGGAUCGGACGAAGUUAAUUUUAUAAUGACGCGUUCGGCACCUUACGGGAAACCAAAGUGUUUGGGUUC